UACGUAGGGGGCCAGCGUUGCUCGGAAUUACUGGGCGUAAAGGGUUCGUAGGCGGUGCGGUAAGUUGGGAGUGAAAUCUCUGGGCUUAACCCAGAGGCUGCUUUCAAAACUUCCGUGCUCGAGUGCGAGAGAGGUCAGUGGAAUUGCAGGUGUAGCGGUGAAAUGCGUAGAUAUCUGCAGGAACACCCGUGGCGAAGGCGGCUGACUGGAUCGCAACUGACGCUGAGGAACGAAAGCUAGGGGAGCAAACAGG
rnacentral:rRNA from 1 species